GCGUCAGUAGUGCAACGGUUCGAGCACGUGCCCUUGGAUAGGGUAAAAUGUGGGUUUGAGUCUCAGCUGACGCA